AUUGAACGCUGGCGGCAGGCCUAACACAUGCAAGUCGAGCGCCCCGCAAGGGGAGCGGCGGACGGGUGAGUAACGCGUGGGAAUUUUCCUCAAGGUACGGAACAACCCAGGGAAACUUGGGCGAAUACCGUAUGAUGCAGAGAUGCCAAAGAUUUAUCGCCUUGGGAUAAGCCCGCGUCAGAUUAGGUAGUUGGUGGGGUAACGGCCUACCAAGCCUGCGAUCUGUAGCUGGUCUGAGAGGACGAUCAGCCACACUGGGACUGAGACACGGCCCAGACUCCUACGGGAGGCAGCAGUGGGGAAUCUUGCGCAAUGGGCGAAAGCCUGACGCAGCCAUGCCGCGUGAGUGAUGAAGGUCUUAGGAUUGUAAGGCUCUUUCGCCCGUGACGAUGAUGACGGUAACGGGAGAAGAAGCCCCGGCUAACUUCGUGCCAGCCGCCGCCGUAACAC
rnacentral:rRNA from 1 species